GGCCGAGUCGCUCAAUUUGGUAGAGCAGCGGUAUCGUAAACCGCAGGUUGUGGGUUCAAGUCCCACCUUGGCCUCCA
rnacentral:tRNA from 1 species